CGUAUUUACAAGCAGCUAGCGACAUAGCUAACGUUAGCAACUUAAGAGUUAACCGCAGGGUUAACUUUCAGCUACCGACUUUACCUAGACGAGAAGGGUGAAAAGGCUCCUGUAGAGUCCUGUAGAAUCUCUUGCCAGCUGCAUGCUUCCAUCCGCCCAGAGCAGGAAACACAGUACAUGUAGCUGAUAAUGAUUCUAGGCGAAGACGUUGCAACUUGGCUGGACUCUGUUUAAACUCUCUAAGUUGCGGAUUGAACCACUCAUUCAAGUUUUCUUGGCAUCCACUUAUUUUCCUCUUGAUGGCAUGACGUGCCCCAUCUGCCAGUUUGCCAGAACCCAGGAGCACGAGAUAAACUCUAAUUGUCUGAUACAACUGUUCACUGGGCCAGCAGCGGAUGUUCCUCUCUAUUUGGCCUGGCCUCAGAUGCACAACAGCCAUUUUAUCAUGCAGAUAGGGGCAGGUUGGGCGUGGAGCAACUGAAGAGCCAUCUGAAAAGGAUGACCAAAUGGCUGGCAGAAGUGUGGGAGGGCCCCUGCGACAUGUCGGCAGCAGCUGAGGUAGUUUCAUGGCAGAUGCUGGUGGGUGGCAUUGCUGCAGAGCGGCGAGAAGCAAGCGAGAGAGAGAGAAGUUCACUGGGGUGAAAUGGGUGCAGUGGUUCAAUCAAGGCUUUGCUCGGAUUGAGAAGACCCUAAGAACCCAGGCAACAAAGGCAGAUGCUGUGGUGUGUGUCUCUACUGUAAGUGCCUUUUGAAGAAUUGGCACAGUCAUCUGGCGAACACCUCACAUCUCUCACAAACAAAUGAAGACCCAGUGCUUCAAAGUGAGAUUGAUAUCUCUCUCUGAAGUUUAUCCCGAAUAUUCUGAAUAUUGAGAGAGGUGCACUCCUCCCUUGGGAUCGUCGCCGCGCCUUCUACUCCCCUGCUCUGCCAAAGAGGGGAAAAAGAUUGCCCCUGUAGAUCUUUCAUGUUCAUCAAUAUUCACUCAUUCAUCGUGAACCAUGGCAGCUGAAAUUCGUCCAAGUAUUGCUGGAUGGAUGGCCCGGGGAUCCACUUUGUCGCAGUAAGGAUGUCUGAAAUUGAGUCCCAGAAUUAAAAUAGAACAAUCCCCAAUUUUUACUGACUCCAGACACUGCUAUAAAUUUCACUUAGCGGCUGAAAACUUUUCCAUUUGGUCCAUGAGUCCUCAAUGUACCCAGCCAUUUAAUAGGUCAUGGAUAGAUGUAUCCGGUUUGUUCUGCUUACUGACUCAAUGAGAAAAGCUUUUGUGUGGUGACAAAUAUAGUUAUUUGUUAUUUUAAAAAAGGUCACAGUUUUCAUAUUUAAUACAGAAAGGAGUUAAAGGGCUUUUCAUGAAUCAAAUAGUUCUAAAACACAAUGCACUGGCCACCAUUAUAGAGCAGCAUUUGGCUGGAAUAUAGAGAGUCUAAGUCAGUAUGUAACCAAAUGCAGCUGAAAGGGCCCAUAUAAUGGAAAACUGAAUCUCUCACACAUUUAUUUAAUAAAAAUAAUCUAGUAUGUAAACAUUGCUACAAUUGGUGUAGGCUCCCAAUCCAGUCCAUGUAUAGAAACUGCCAAAACCGUCUGUUUUGAAUACAUUAUUUUUUGUGAUGUCAUGAAAACGAAUGCAUCUAUAUACAUAUAUCCACCUACUCAGCCUACAGUAGU